rnacentral:rRNA from 1 species
AUUGAACGCUGGCGGCAGGCCUAACACAUGCAAGUCGAGCGGUAGCACAGAGAGCUUGCUCUCGGGUGACGAGCGGCGGACGGGUGAGUAAUGUCUGGGAAACUGCCCGAUGGAGGGGGAUAACUACUGGAAACGGUAGCUAAUACCGCAUAACGUCGCAAGACCAAAGAGGGGGACCUUCGGGCCUCUUGCCAUCGGAUGUGCCCAGAUGGGAUUAGCUAGUAGGUGGGGUAACGGCUCACCUAGGCGACGAUCCCUAGCUGGUCUGAGAGGAUGACCAGCCACACAGGAACUGAGACACGGUCCAGACUCCUACGGGAGGCAGCAGUGGGGAAUAUUGCACAAUGGGCGCAAGCCUGAUGCAGCCAUGCCGCGUGUAUGAAGAAGGCCUUCGGGUUGUAAAGUACUUUCAGCGGGGAGGAAGGUGUUGAGGUUAAUAACCUCAGCAAUUGACGUUACCCGCAGAAGAAGCACCGGCUAACUCCGUGCCAGCCGCCGCGGUAA